rnacentral:rRNA from 1 species
GGUAAUACGGAGGGUGCAAGCGUUAAUCGGAAUUACUGGGCGUAAAGCGCACGCAGGCGGUUUGUUAAGUCAGAUGUGAAAUCCCCGGGCUCAACCUGGGAACUGCAUCUUAUACUGGCAAGCUUGAGUCUCGUAGAGGGGGGUAGAAUUCCAGGUGUAGCGGUGAAAUGCGUAGAGAUCUGGAGGAAUACCGGUGGCGAAGGCGGCCCCCUGGACGAAGA